CAGCAGCCACGGUAAAACGGAGGGUGCAAGCGUUAAUCGGAAUUACUGGGCGUAAAGCGUGCGCAGGCGGUUAUAUAAGACAGAUGUGAAAUCCCCGGGCUCAACCUGGGAACUGCAUUUGUGACUGUAUAGCUAGAGUACGGCAGAGGGGGAUGGAAUUCCGCGUGUAGCAGUGAAAUGCGUAGAUAUGCGGAGGAACACCGAUGGCGAAGGCAAUCCCCUGGGCCUGUACUGACGCUCAUGCACGAAAGCGUGGGGAGCAAACAGGAUUAGAUACCCCUGUAGUCCCUGUCUCUUAUAC
rnacentral:rRNA from 1 species